CUCCUACGGAGGCAGCAGUGGGGAAUUUUGGCGUCAAUGGGGGAAACCCUGGACGCAGCAACGCCGCGUGGAGGAUGAAGUCCCUUGGGAUGUAAACUCCUUUCGAUCGGGACGAGUUAUGACGGUACCGGAAGAACGAACGCACCGGCUAACUCUGUGCCAGCAGCCGCGGAAUUC
rnacentral:rRNA from 1 species